rnacentral:snoRNA from 1 species
AACCCAUGAUGAGGGCACCUUCUCAAUAGAUCCUUGUAUCUCUCCCACGCACUUCUAAGUCCAUUUAUACAAAAGAAGAGAUAUCAUUCCUUAACUU